rnacentral:misc_RNA from 1 species
GAUGAAGAACGUAGCGAAAUGCGAUAAGUAAUGUGAAUUGCAGAAUUCAGUGAAUCAUCGAGUCUUUGAACGCACAUUGCGCCCCCUGGUAUUCCGGGGGGCAUGCCUGUCCGAGCGUCAUUGCUGCCCUCAAGCACGGCUUGUGUGUUGGGCCCCCGUCCCCGGUUUCCCCCGGGGACGGGCCCGAAAGGCAGCGGCGGCACCGCGUCCGGUCCUCGAGCGUAUGGGGCUUUGUCACCCGCUCUGUAGGCCCGGCCGGCGCCAGCCGACACCCAACUUUAUUUCUAAGGUUGACCCCGGAUCAGGUAGGGAUACCCGCUGAACUUAAGCAUAUCAAUAAGCGGAGGA